rnacentral:rRNA from 1 species
GAUGAACGCUGGCGGCGUGCCUAAUACAUGCAAGUCGAGCGAACAGACGAGGAGCUUGCUCCUCUGACGUUAGCGGCGGACGGGUGAGUAACACGUGGAUAACCUACCUAUAAGACUGGGAUAACUUCGGGAAACCGGAGCUAAUACCGGAUAAUAUAUUGAACCGCAUGGUUCAAUAGUGAAAGACGGUUUUGCUGUCACUUAUAGAUGGAUCCGCGCCGCAUUAGCUAGUUGGUAAGGUAACGGCUUACCAAGGCAACGAUGCGUAGCCGACCUGAGAGGGUGAUCGGCCACACUGGAACUGAGACACGGUCCAGACUCCUACGGGAGGCAGCAGUAGGGAAUCUUCCGCAAUGGGCGAAAGCCUGACGGAGCAACGCCGCUUGAGUGAUGAAGGUCUUCGGACCGUAAAACUCUGUUAUUAGGGAAGAACAAAUGUGUAAGUAACUAUGCACGUCUUGACGGUACCUAAUCAGAAAGCCACGGCUAACUACGUG